GACGAACGCUGGCGGCGUGCCUAAUACAUGCAAGUUGAGCGCUGAAGGUUGGUACUUGUACCCACUGGAUGAGCAGCGAAUGGGUGAGUAACGCGUGGGGAAUCUGCCUUUGAGCGGGGGACAACAUUUGGAAACGAAUGCUAAUACCGCAUAAAAACUUUAAACACAAGUUUUAAGUUUGAAAGAUGCAAUUGCAUCACUCAAAGAUGAUCCCGCGUUGUAUUAGCUAGUUGGUGAGGUAAAGGCUCACCAAGGCGAUGAUACAUAGCCGACCUGAGAGGGUGAUCGGCCACAUUGGGACUGAGACACGGCCCAAACUCCUACGGGAGGCAGCAGUAGGGAAUCUUCGGCAAUGGACGAAAGUCUGACCGAGCAACGCCGCGUGAGUGAAGAAGGGUUUCGGAUCGUAAAACUCUGUUGGUAGAGAAGAACGUUGGUGAGAGUGGAAAGCUCAUCAAGUGACGGUAACUACCCAGAAAGGGACGGCUAACUACGUG
rnacentral:rRNA from 1 species